rnacentral:rRNA from 1 species
CAGUAGCCGCGGUAAUACGAAGGGUGCAAGCGUUACUCGGAAUUACUGGGCGUAAAGCGUGCGUAGGUGGUGGUUUAAGUCCGUUGUGAAAGCCCUGGGCUCAACCUGGGAAUUGCAGUGGAUACUGGAUCACUAGAGUGUGGUAGAGGAUAGUGGAAUUUCCGGUGUAGCAGUGAAAUGCGUAGAGAUCGGAAGGAACAUCUGCGGCGAAGGCGACUAUCUGGGCCAACACUGACACUGAGGCACGAAAGCGUGGGGAGCAAACAGGAUUAGAUACCCCUGUAGUCCCUGUCUCUUAUAC